rnacentral:rRNA from 1 species
UACGAAGGGGGCUAGCGUUGCUCGGAAUCACUGGGCGUAAAGCGCACGUAGGCGGAUUGCUAAGUCAGGGGUGAAAUCCUGGAGCUCAACUCCAGAACUGCCUUUGAUACUGGCGAUCUUGAGUCCGGAAGAGGUAAGUGGAACUGCGAGUGUAGAGGUGAAAUUCGUAGAUAUUCGCAAGAACACCAGUGGCGAAGGCGGCUUACUGGUCCGGAACUGACGACUGAGGUG